rnacentral:rRNA from 1 species
UUCGCCCUUAGAGUUUGAUCCUGGCUCAGGACGAACGCUGGCGGCGUGCCUAACACAUGCAAGUCGAACGGGGUGAAGCCCUUCGGGACUUUACUUAGUGGCGAACGGGUGAGUAACGCGUGAGGAACCUGCCUUUCAGUGGGGGACAACAGUUGGAAACGACUGCUAAUACCGCAUAACACUUCUGAGUGGCAUCACUUAGAAGUCAAAGAUUUAUGUGCUGAAAGAUGGCCUCGCGUCUGAUUAGCUGGUUGGCGGGGUAACGGCCCACCAAGGCGACGAUCAGUAGCCGGUCUGAGAGGAUGAACGGCCACAUUGGGACUGAAAUACGGCCCAGACUCCUACGGGAGGCAGCAGUGGGGAAUAUUGGGCAAUGGGGGAAACCCUGACCCAGCAACGCCGCGUGAAGGAAGAAGGCCCUCGGGUUGUAAACUUCUUUUACCAGGGACGAAGGACGUGACGGUACCUGAAGAAAAAGCAACGGCUAACUACGUGCCAGCAGCCGCGGUAAUACGUAGGUUGCAAGCGUUGUCCGGAUUUACUGGGUGUAAAGGGCGUGCAGGCGGAGGUGCAAGUUGGGAGUGAAAUCCCGGGGCUCAACCCCGGAACUGCUUUCAAAACUGCAUCCCUUGAGUAUCGGAGAGGCAAGCGGAAUUCCUAGUGUAGCGGUGAAAUGCGUAGAUAUUAGGAGGAACACCAGUGGCGAAGGCGGCUUGCUGGACGACAACUGACGCUGAGGCGCGAAAGCGUGGGGAGCAAACAGGAUUAGAUCCCCUGGUAGUCCACGCUGUAAACGAUGAAUACUGGGUGUGGGGGGGACUGCCCCCUUCCGUGCCGCAGUAACACACAAUACGUAUUCCUCCGGGGGAGUACUGCCGGCAGGGUUAAAACUCAAAGGAAUUGCCGGGGGCCCGCACAAUCAGUGGCUUAUGUGUUUUAAUUCGACGCAACGCGAAGAACCUUACCAGUGCCUUGACAUCCAACUAACGAAGUAGGAGAUACAUCAGGUGCCCUUCGGGGAUAGUUGAGACAGGUGGAGCAUGGUUGUCGUCAGCUCGUGUCGUGAGAUGUUGGGUUAAGUCCCGCAACGAGCGCAACCCCUAUUGUUAGUCGCUACGAAAGAGCACUCUAGCGAGACUGCCGUUGACAAAACGGAGGAAGGCGGGGACGACGUCAAAUCAUCAUGCCCCUUAUGUCCUGGGCUACACACGUAAUACAAUGGUGGCCAACAGAGGGAAGCAAAGCCGCGAGGCAGAGCAAAACCCUAAAAGCCAUCUCAGUUCGGAUUGCAGGCUGCAACUCGCCUGCAUGAAGCUGGAAUUGCUAGUAAUCGCGGAUCAGAAAGCCGCGGUGAAUACGUUCCCGGGCCUUGCACUCACCGCCCGUCA